rnacentral:rRNA from 1 species
UGCGAGUCAUUGUAGUAAUACAAGGCAGACGGCUCAGUAACGCGUAGUCAACCUAACCUAUGGACGGGAAUAACCUCGGGAAACUGAGUAUAAUGCCCGAUAGAACAUUAUGCCUGGAAUGGUUUAUGUUCCAAAUGAUUUAUCGCCGUAGGAUGGGACUGCGGCCUAUCAGUUUGUUGGUGAGGUAAUGGCCCACCAAGACUAUUACAGGUACGGGCUCUGAGAGGAGUAGCCCGGAGAUGGGUACUGAGACACGGACCCAGGCCCUAUGGGGCGCAGCAGGCGAGAAAACUUUGCAAUGUGCGAAAGCACGACAAGGUUAAUCCGAGUGGUUUCUGCUAAAGGAACCUUUUGUCGGUCCUAGAAACACCGAUGAAUAAGGGGUGGGCAAGUUCUGGUGUCAGCCGCCGCGGUAAAACCAGCACCUCAAGUGGUCAGGAUGAUUAUUGGGCCUAAAGCAUCCGUAGCCGGCUCUGUUAGUUUUCGGUUAAAUCUGUACGCUCAACGUACAGGCUGCCGGGAAUACUGCAGAGCUAGGGAGUGGGAGAGGUAGACGGUACUCGGUAGGAAGGGGUAAAAUCCUUUUGAUCCUAUUGAUGACCACCUGUGGCGAAGGCGGUCUACCAGAACACGUCCCGACGGUGAGGGAUGAAAGCUGGGGGAGCAAACCGGAUUAGAUACCCGGGUAGUCCCAGCUGUAAACUAUGCAAACUCAGUGAUGCAUUGGCUUGUGGCCAAUGCAGUGCUGCAGGGAAGCCGUUAAGUUUGCCGCCUGGGAAGUACGUACGCAAGUAUGAAACUUAAAGGAAUUGGCGGGGG